AUGCACUUGUGCCUUAACCUUACCGCUUACAUGUUAAACUCCUGCAGGACGCACCCCUUUCCUAGUGGAACAGGGCCCGUGGCAAUGAUCUUUCCUCUCACUGGAGUUUUAAAAAAUGUUGUCAUUGAGUGUGGCAAUGGUGUAGGAGUUAACCCACAAGUUCCCAAUCUAUUAAAGAUGUUUCUAAAAAAAAAAAAAAAAAAAAAAAAAAAAUUUUACUCUAGCCAGCUUGGGCUGCCAAAACUAAGCACGCCAGACUGGGAGGCUUAAACAACAGGAAUUUCUCUCUCACAUCUCGGACUGGAAGGCCAAGAUCAAGGUGCUGGCUAACUCGGUUCCUAGGGAAGGCCUUCCUCCUGGCUUUGGGAAGGUUGCCUCCCGCAUCCUCACAAGAGAGCUCAUUGGCUCUGGUCUUUCUUCCUCUUCUCAUAAGGGCGCUAAUCCCACUGUGGGGCCCCACCCUCAUGACCUCAUCUAAACCUAAUUACCUCCCAGAUGGCCCACCUUCAAAUACUAGCACGUGGAGGGAGAGGCAUCAACAUAACCCUGCAGGGCAGGGAUACAAUUCAGUCCAGAGCAGAUUAUUUUUGUUUCUGUAUGAAAUUGUCAUCAAAGAAACCAGGAAGGAGUUGAAAACCUAACCAGGGAGCUCCAGUGCACUGUUACCGAGCAAUGCUUUCCAGGGUAUAAUUAAUGUUCCCUAAUUGUCAAGGGACGCCGUUAUAUGAUAAAUUAUUCAUGGUAACUGACAUUAUAUAACCCAGAUGGAAGUUGGGCAUUAUGCAUGUGCUAUUUGGGAGCUGGGUCCGCGUCCUGGUCUUCAUGCCUCAGUCUUGUGGCUUCCCGAGCCCCUUGCUCUGGCUGAUCAGCUCAGCUCCUGUUCUUCACUAGGCCCUUUUGCUUGAUGACUCAGUUUGACUUAUUUGCAUGGAUUCUGACUACUUCAGCUCCCUUUGCUGGGCUCCCAGCAGGUCCACCCACUGAAAUAAUAAGUAAGAGUUUCUGUCCUAAGGUGACGGGUGACUGAGCUGACCCUGCCCCAGCCUCCUCCUCAAGACCUGGGUUAGGGGAACAUUUUCCACUGUACAUAAUUUUCUCUCAAGAGACCUCAGAGUUAGAGUCAAGUCCCUCGGGCCAUAUUUUUCACACCACUUUUCACCUUGACUGUAUCAAGAUUAGUACCAAUGGGUGGCGUGGGGUGGGAGAGGGAACGGUUUAGCCCACUUAAAAUCUCCUUUAGCCCCUUACCCUCAGCCACUCUAAAUAAACCUAAGGUUGAAGUAAAAAUGGUUUAUCUU
rnacentral:lncRNA from 12 species